rnacentral:tRNA from 1 species
CAAAUUAGAGCUUGCUUUAAAGUAUUUUAGUUACAUUAAAAGGGAAAUUGUGAAAUUCAAUUUAAUUUGA